UUCCAAAUGAUGAGUCCAAAAUAGGAUGAAAUGCACAUCCUGGAU
rnacentral:hammerhead_ribozyme from 1 species